UACAGAGGGGGCAAGCGUUGUUCGGAAUUACUGGGCGUAAAGGGCGCGUAGGCGGCCUGUUAAGUCGAACGUGAAAUCCCCGGGCUCCAACCCGGGAACUGGCGUCCGAUACUGGCAGGCUUGAAUUCGGGAGAGGGAUGGCGGAAUUCCAGGGUGUAGCGGUGAAAUGCGUAGAAUAUCUGGAGGAACACCGGUGGCGGA
rnacentral:rRNA from 1 species